rnacentral:lncRNA from 1 species
AAACAGGCAGGGAGCUCUUUGCAGAUAGCUCCUAAUGCCAAGUGAUGGGAAGACGCCUGACCCUACAAGAGGUGUGUGCCUUCAGCGGAAAGAGGAAACCCUUUAUGUAACUCCGGUUACAUCACUGGGCUGCCACCCUGACAAGGCCCUUGGAUAAAAGGCCAGCACACCUGUGUCCUGCUUCUUCCUCUCCAACCUGGAUCAUGCUCCGGCUCCUUCCUGCCCUGGUGCUCCUGGGGGUGCUGGUCACUCCAGAAGGGACCUCCAAGACCUGUCCAGCCUGUGCUUCGCCAGGUCACUGCAGGGACAUCCUCUGUCCUUCAGCCCAGGACUCCUGCCUGCUCAGCCAGAUGCAGCUGGAAAAUGGGACUGUGGUGGACAGCGGAUCAUGUGUGGCCCCUGGGCGGUGCCGGGAAAGCAUCACCACCCUGACCUACGGCCCCAACUCCACGCUCUGGGUCAGCACCGCCUGCUGUGCAAACAGCUGCAGCAUCACUGGGCCACCACAAGAGCCAGGCCCCGAGGCCAACCAUGUGACAUGUCAAUACUGUUCUGGGAAUAAGUCGGCCCCAUGUGACUCCCUUUCGGUCAUGAACUGCACGGGGAACCAGACCAAGUGUGUCACCCUCAACGGGACAUGGAGUGGAGGUCCCCAUGCAGCUGUGACCCACACCAGCCCAAAGCCCACCAUCUGUUUCACCUGCUCGGACCUCCAGCACUGCGACCCUCUCCCCUGUCCAGAGGACAGAAACUACUGCCUUCAGACAGCAGGCAUCACCGCAACUCUGCCGGCCUCACGCACCUUGACCAAGUUCCUGUGUCCUACGUGCCCCAAGGACCAGUCUGGCUCCUGCCGCUCCUCCUUCUACCUUCAGUGUCCCCGUGGGGAGACCCAGUGUGUCCAGCUGGACCUGACAUUGGAUGAAGGCGGCCAGAACGUGAGCAUGCGCGGCUGCGGCUCCCGAGACCUGUGCAGCUCCCGGGCAGUGACCGAGAAGCUCCGGACUCUUUCGGACCUUUCUGGUCUCCGCCGCCUCCGGCUGUCCCGCCGGCCUAACUGCAACCCCAGCCGCCGCGCUGUCCUGGAGAACCAGUGCCUCUCCAGCGCCGCGGGCGGCCUCCGCCUGGCCCUGCCCCUGCUGGCGGUGGCCCUGGGGGCAGCAAGGCUCUGCUGAGAAUGCCAAGCCCAGACGGAUCCCCCCACCCCACCCCCAGGGCGCGCCUGGGGCCUGGAAACUUCUAUCCACGAAGUCAGGAACCAGGGGUGAGCCUGCUCUCUCAGACUCUGCUUCCCAAAGGCCAAGCCUCAGACUAAGCUUCCCCAAGGCUAUGCCCUCUUCC